GCGUAUCUAUGCUUUGGCCAGGAUGGCACUCGCCAGGGGCGCCAGCAGAGGAGGGGCGCCACCCAGCGGUGCCACCCGCGGCCGCACAAAGCGAAAAAACGAAACAAACUACAACUCCCAGAAGCCACCUAGCCUGGUACAGCUGCAUGCCUAUUGGCUGUAUGCCCAGAGUAGGCGUGUACUGUACUUGUCAGCAGCCGCGGGAUGUUCAAGGAAGUAAGCUGUGGACACAGUGAGUGAGUGACCCGCUGAGACUUGUAUGUACCUAUGACAGAGAGAGUCGGAGUGGACGGAGCUAGGGAGGAGGGUCACAUUGCCGGAAAGAACAUAGGAGCUCUGCUGGGCACUGUGCUUCUGCUCCCAGUCUGAGGCAAGCAGCUGAAGAAAAUACACAUUGCUGUGACCAGCACACAACCAACUCCUAUAGAAAGUGCAUGUCAUGAACUACAAGCUGGUGAUAUGGUAAUGGUCAAAAAUUUCCUAAGACUGGACUCGCUGACAGAUCGGUGGGAAGGACCUUAUCAAGUCUUGCUGACAACUUCAACUUCUGAUCCUCCUUUCCCUAUAAGAGAUCCACACUGACUUGCAGGGACGACAAGACGUAACGUUACAGGUGGUUUACUUGUCACUGUACU